AGGGAUUGAAAACAGAUAAAAAUGCGUGCGGGAUCGUGUCUGCAACAACAAAGGCCAUCUACACACUAGGCAACCUAAGUUGGAAAGCAACUUAACGAAUCUGUCAAAAAAGUUGAGAACAUGUGUAAUCAAAUGGGAGCAUACACACUAGGCAACUGGCAACUUUUGUCGGACCAACUUUUUCGAUUCAACUCAGCAUGUCGAGUCGCGCGCGAUUUGUGUCGGCAACCUUUUCGUUCAAUUGCUGUUGACGUUUUGAUUUCUGCGUUCAUUGAAUUUCAAUAUUUGUCAGUGGUGAUGCAAAACAGUGUUUACAAUAUUGGCGCAUCUGUUUCUAUGAACGAACGAGAUGAAAUGCCAUCAAUAUGCAAGUUCUCUUGAUAUACCGUCCGGGAAGAGUGCUGAAUUGGUCAAGGAUGCGUAUAAUAUUGGAGAUUGUGCAAGAAGCACAGAAUCCGCUGGAUGUAUUUUUUCCAAGUUAACAGCAAUUGUUGCUGUCUGUUAUCAGCGAGCCGAAAAAAGUAUGUUAGAUAGCCUAAGAUUGGAUAAUUCUGGUCAGAUUUCCCGGGAAACCGUUAUCAUCCCUGAUUCUCGAUUGUACCAUGUGCGAAGGUGCGGUCUGCGAGUAUGUGACCCCUGGGAGAAUUUUUCAUAUUUAGCGUUAGUGUAUACAUAAAUCAUUCUUUAGAAGAAUUGUUGAAAAUUUUUCUGUUUUCUUUAUAUAAUUCUUUUCGGCUGUAUUCUUAUUUCAAUGAUUUUUUUAUGUUUGUAAAUAUUGUUUGCUGGUUUGU